AACUGAUACUACCUGCGGGAACCUGCGGAGGGAUCAUUACUGAAGUGAUUUGGGGAUGUUGCUGGCCCUCUCUCAAGGGGGGGCACUGUGCACUCCUCGAAACAAUUCACAAUUUCCAUCACACCCCUUGUGCACACCUUGUAGGCACCCAAACCCACCUCCGGGUGGUGGGGUCCUAUGUAUUCCUUCGUCUCACACUCUGUUGAAUGGUGCCAUGGGACGCAUCUAAAGGAUUAUUUG
rnacentral:misc_RNA from 1 species